rnacentral:rRNA from 1 species
CUUAGUGGCGGACGGGUGAGUAACGCGUGGGGAACCUGCCCUGGUACAGGGGGAUAACACUUAGAAAUAGGUGCUAAAACCGCAUAAGCGCACAGCUUCGCAUGAAGCGGUGUGAAAAACUCCGGUGGUGUAAGAUGGACCCGCGUCUGAUUAGCUUGUUGGCGGGGUAACGGCCCACCAAGGCGACGAUCAGUAGCCGGCCUGAGAGGGCGGACGGCCACAUUGGGACUGAGACACGGCCCAGACUCCUACGGGAGGCAGCAG